CCCUUAGAUGUUCUGGGCCGCACGCGCGCUACACUGUUCGACGCAGCGAGUCUUAACCUUGGCCGAAAGGUUUGGGUAAUCUUCAGCAAAGUCGAACGUGAUGGGGAUCGAUCAUUGCAAUUAUUGAUCGUGAAUGAGGAAUUCCUAGUAAGUGCAAGUCAUCAGCUUGCGCUGAUUACGUCCCUGCCCUUUGUACACACCGCCCGUCGCUACUACCGAUUGAAUGGUUUAGUGAGAUCUCUGGAUUGACGCUGGCUAGGGGGCGACCCUUGGCCAGACUGCUCGAGAAACUGCUCAAACUUGAUCAUUUAGAGGAAGUAAAAGUCGUAACA
rnacentral:rRNA from 1 species